GACGAAGGGGGCUAGCGUUGUUCGGAAUUACUGGGCGUAAAGCGCGUGUAGGCGGUUGUCCAAGUUGGAUGUGAAAGCCUUGAGCUUAACUCAAGAAAUGCAUACAGGACUGGAUGACUAGAGGACCGGAGAGGAUAGUGGAAUUCCCAGUGUAGUGGUGAAAUACGUAGAGAUUGGGAAGAACACCAGUGGCGAAGGCGGCUAUCUGGACGGUUUCUGACGCUAAGACGCGAAAGCGUGGGGAGCAAACAGG
rnacentral:rRNA from 1 species